rnacentral:rRNA from 1 species
UACGGAGGGUGCAAGCGUUAUCCGGAUUCACUGGGUUUAAAGGGUGCGUAGGUGGGCAAGUAAGUCAGUGGUGAAAUCUCCGGGCUUAACCCGGAAACUGCCAUUGAUACUAUUUGUCUUGAAUGUUGUGGAGGUAAGCGGAAUAUGUCAUGUAGCGGUGAAAUGCUUAGAUAUGACAUAGAACACCAAUUGCGAAGGCAGCUGGCUACACAAAUAUUGACACUGAUGCACGAAAGCGUGGGGAUCAAACAGG